AUAUCAAUAAGCGGAGGAAAAGAAACCAACAGGGAUUGCCUCAGUAACGGCGAGUGAAGCGGCAACAGCUCAAAUUUGAAAUCUGGCCCCCAGGGUCCGAGUUGUAAUUUGUAGAGGAUGCUUUUGGUGAGGUGCCUUCCGAGUUCCCUGGAACGGGACGCCAUAGAGGGUGAGAGCCCCGUCUGGUUGGAUACCGAGCCUCUGUAAAGCUCCUUCGACGAGUCGAGUAGUUUGGGAAUGCUGCUCUAAAUGGGAGGUAUAUGUCUUCUAAAGCUAAAUAUUGGCCAGAGACCGAUAGCGCACAAGUAGAGUGAUCGAAAGAUGAAAAGCACUUUGAAAAGAGGGUUAAAAAGUACGUGAAAUUGUUGAAAGGGAAGCGCUCAUGACCAGACUUGGGCUUGGCGAAUCAUCCAGCGUUCUCGCUGGUGCACUUCGCCUCGUUCAGGCCAGCAUCAGUUCGUCCCGGGGGAUAAAAGCUUUGGGAACGUGGCUGCUUCGGCAGUGUUAUAGCCCGCUGCAUAAUACCCUGGGGUGGACUGAGGUUCGCGCUCCGCAAGGAUGCUGGCGUAAUGGUCAUCAGCGACCCGUCUUGAAACACGGACCAAGGAGUCGUCUUCGUAUGCGAGUGUUCGGGUGUCAAACCCCUACGCGUAAUGAAAGUGAACGCAGGUGAGAGCUUCGGCGCAUCAUCGACCGAUCCUGAUGUUCUCGGAUGGAUUUGAGUAAGAGCAUACGGGGCCGGACCCGAAAGAAGGUGAACUAUGCCUGUAUAGGGUGAAGCCAGAGGAAACUCUGGUGGAGGCUCGCAGCGGUUCUGACGUGCAAAUCGAUCGUCAAAUAUGGGCAUGGGGGCGAAAGACUAAUCGA
rnacentral:rRNA from 1 species